rfam:Felis catus isolate Cinnamon breed Abyssinian chromosome D2, whole genome shotgun sequence.
GCCUGGGUGGCUCAGUCAGUUAAGCGUCUGACUUCAGCUCAGGUCAUGAUCUCACGGUUGGUGAGUUCGAGCCCCACAUCGGGCU